rnacentral:misc_RNA from 1 species
ACUGCAUUCCAUGUCUGGCAAAUGCUGAUGAAAUUGGAGUGUCGGGGUCCAUUGCAAAAUAUGGUACUAGGCCAACAAUAACAAUCGAAACCAUCAUAUAGAGGAAGCAACAUAUUGAAAGUGCUAAUCCAAUACCCCACGGUAAAUCACGUUGGGGAUUCUUUACCUCCUCAGCGGUGCUAGCAACUGAAUCAAAACCUAUGUAUGCAAAGAACACAGUUGCUGAUCCAGCAAGCACUCCAUUUACGCCAUAAGGGAAGUAUCCGCUAGAAACAGUAUAUCCGACCCAUCCAGUCUGAAAGCCAAGAUAUCCCCCAGCUAUAAUGACAAAUAUCAUGACACAAACAUUUGCAAUGGUGACGAUGCCUUGUACAAAUGUGCUCUCUCUUAUUCCCACACAUAGCAGCCCAGUGACAAUUAGAACAAGACCUGCAGCACAUGGAUCGACGACCACAUCAAGCCAUGGAAUGUGAGCACGUGACAGAAAAGAAGGCAAACUGUCUGGUCCACCGAAAAAUAUGGCCAAGUUCGGAGAUAUGCCACGUGCAACAGCCGAACCCCCGAUUGUAUAUUCCAGUAUCAGAGCCCAACCAAUCAACCAAGCAACACCUUCUCCAACACAAAUGUAUGAAUAGUG